AUCUGAUACUGAGGGCACUUGAUGCAUAAUUUCUUGAAUCGCUCCCAGUAAUCAUAGAGCGACUCCUCUAGAUGCUGUUUAAUGCCGCAUAUCUCAUUCCUUAGACU